rnacentral:tRNA from 1 species
AGGGGGUUAGUUUAAUUAAAACUACUAAUUUCGACUUAGUAAACUCUGGCCUCAUCAGAACCCCUAA